rnacentral:rRNA from 1 species
AUUGAACGCUGGCGGCAGGCCUAACACAUGCAAGUCGAGCGGAGCGGCGGACGGGUGAGUAAUGCCUAGGAAUCUGCCUGGUCGUGGGGGAUCACGUCCGGAACCGGGCACUAAUACCACAUACUCUCAGCUGAGCCUAGGUCGGAUUAGCUAGUUGGUGGGGUAAAGGCCUACCAAGGCGACGAUCCGUAACGUGUCUGAGAGGAUGAUCAGUCACACUGGGAAUGAGACACGGUCCAGACUCCUACGGGAGGCAGCAGUGGGGAAUAUUGGACAAGGGGCGAAAGCCUGAUGAAGCCAUGCCGCGUGUGUGAAGAAGGUCUUCGGAUUGUAAAGCACUUUAAGUUGGGAGGCGUUACCAACAGAAUAAGCACCGGCUAACUUCGUGCCAGCAGCCGCGGUAAUUC